rnacentral:rRNA from 1 species
UACGUAGGGUCCGAGCGUUGUCCGGAAUUAUUGGGCGUAAAGGGAGUGUAGGCGGUUAGUUAAGUCUUCUGUGAAAGCUACGGGCUCAGCCCGUAAAGUGCAGAGGAAACUGGCUGACUUGAGUGUCGGAGAGGAUAGGGGAAUACCCAGUGUAGAGGUGAAAUUCGUAGAGAUUGGGUGGAACACCAGUGGCGAAGGCGCCUGUCUGGCUGACAACUGACGCUGAGACUCGAAAGCAUGGGGAGCAAACAGG